AAGAACUUGAAAAACAGGAUGAAGUUGUCUAUUACGAUCCAUGUGAAAGUCCAGAGGAACUUAGUCAUUGACUGUGGUGGGGCUGCAGGACGAUAAGAAUUCGGAAGUGAAAGAACUCAGAAGGCAGUGCCAGCAGCUGGAGUCUAUUAAACGGGGCAGGAUCUGUGUCAAAAGAGCUUCUCUCCAGAGUAGAAAGGAUCAGUGCAAAGAAAAUCAUUGGCUCAGAUUGCAACAGGCUGAAGAAAGCAUAAGAUAUUCUCGUCAGCAUCACAGUAUUCAGAUGAAAAGAGACAAGAUAAAAAGGAGCAAAAGAAAAAAGAAUGGGUCAACCAAGAACGUCAAACACUCCAACGAUUGAGAGCAUUUAAAGAUAGAAAUAAUGAGAGAGAUUGUCUCUCUUGAAGUUCUCAGUGCCUGUGCAUUGCUGCCACUACACAGCUAGUAUCAUGACAGCAGCUUCAGAACCAGAGCUGGCUUCCAGGCAAGGCUGGGUGGGGAAGAAAGAGAAAAACAAAAGAAUUAUUUCUCUAUGCCGAGACCAGCUCGGUCAGGGAGACCCUAACCUAGCGGUGCUAGAGGAAUUAAAGACAUAGACACAGAAAUAUAGAGGUGUGAAGUGGGAAAUCAGGGGUCUCACAGCCUUCAGAGCUCAGCCACAAACAGAGAUUUACCCACGUAUUUAUUAACAGCAA
rnacentral:lncRNA from 1 species